UAUGGAGAGUUUGAUCCUGGCUCAGAGUGAACGCUGGCGGCGUGCCUAAUACAUGCAAGUCGAACGGACAAGUAAGAGCUUGCUCUUAUGAGUUAGUGGCGCACGGGUGAGUAAUGUAUAGCUAAUCUGCCCUACACUAGAGGACAACAGUUGGAAACGACUGCUAAUACUCUAUACUCCUCUCUAGCAUAAGUUAGAUAGGGAAAGUUUUUCGGUGUAGGAUGAGGCUAUAUUGUAUCAGCUAGUUGGUGAGGUAAUGGCUCACCAAGGCUAUGACGCAUAACUGGUCUGAGAGGAUGAUCAGUCACACUGGAACUGAGACACGGUCCAGACUCCUACGGGAGGCAGCAGUAGGGAAUAUUGCUCAAUGGGGGAAACCCUGAAGCAGCAACGCCGCGUGGAGGAUGACACUUUUCGGAGCGUAAACUCCUUUUGUUAGGGAAGAACAAUGACGGUACCUAAC
rnacentral:rRNA from 1 species